rnacentral:rRNA from 1 species
UACGGAGGGAGCUAGCGUUUGUUCGGAAUUACUGGGGCGUAAAGCGCACGUAGGCGGCUUUUUAAGUCAGGGGUGAAAUCCCGGGGCUCAACCCCGGAACUGCCCUUGAAACUGGAGAGCUAGAAUCUUGGAGAGGCGAGUGGAAUUCCGAGUGUAGAGGUGAAAUUCGUAGAUAUUGGGAAGAACACCGGUGGCGAAGGCGGCUCACUGGCUCAUUUCUGACGCUCAGGCGCGACAGCGUGGGGAUCAAACAGG